ACGCUCGACACCUACGGGAGCAGCAGUAGGGAAUCUUCCACAAUGGGCGCAAGCCUGAUGGAGCAACACCGCGUGAGUGAAGAAGGGUUUCGGCUCGUAAAGCUCUGUUGUUGGAGAAGAACGUGCGUGAGAGUAACUGUUCACGCAGUGACGGUAUCCAACCAGAAAGUCACGGCUAACUACGUGCCCGACAGCCGCGGUAAUCUGAGCGGGCUGGCAAGGC
rnacentral:rRNA from 1 species